UGUGAGUCAUUGCAGUAAUGCAAGGCAGACGGCUCAGUAACACGUAGUCAACCUACCCUAUAGACGGGGAUAACCUCAGGAAACUGAGGAUAAACCCCGAUAGAUCAUUAUGCCUGGAACGGUUUAUGGUCCAAAUGAUUCGUCGCUAUAGGAUGGGACUGCGGCCUAUCAGCUUGUUGGUGAGGUAAUGGCCCACCAAGACUAUUACAGGUACGGGCUCUGAGAGGAGUAGCCCGGAGAUGGGUACUGAGACACGGACCCAGGCCCUAUGGGGCGCAGCAGGCGAGAAAACUUUGCAAUGUGCGAAAGCACGACAAGGUUAAUCCGAGUGAUUCCUGCUAAAGGAAUCUUUUGUUAGUCAUAAUACCACUAACGAAUAAGGGGUGGGCAAGUUCUGGUGUCAGCCGCCGCGGUAAAACCAGCACCUCAAGUGGUCAGGAUGAUUAUUGGGCCUAAAGCAUCCGUAGCCGGCUUUGUUAGUUUUCGGUUAAAUCCAUAUGCUCAACAUAUGGGCUGCCGGGAAUACUGCAAAGCUAGGGAGUGGGAGAGGUAGACGGUACUCCGUAGGAAGGGGUAAAAUCCUUUGAUCUAUGGAUGACCACCUGUGGCGAAGGCGGUCUACCAGAACACGUCCGACGGUGAGGGAUGAAAGCUGGGGGAGCAAACCGGAUUAGAUACCCGGGUAGUCCCAGCUGUAAACUAUGCAAACUCAGUGAUGCAUUGGCUUGUGGCCAGUGCAGUGCCGCAGGGAAGCCGUU
rnacentral:rRNA from 1 species